rnacentral:rRNA from 1 species
CAGGCUUGACAUGUGCGAAAGCGCCAAGUGUACCCUGCGGAAACGCAGGGGAACCCCGCAAGGGGGGACUUGGUACAGGUGCUGCAUGGCUGUCGUCAGCUCGUGUCGUGAGAUGUCGGGUUAAGUCCCAUAACGAGCGAAACCCUUGCCCUUAGUUGCUACGCAAGAGCACUCUAGGGGGACUGCCGGUGUCAAACCGGAGGAAGGCGGGGACGACGUCAAGUCCUCAUGGCCCUUACGCCUGGGGCUGCACACGUGCUACAAUGCGGCCGACAAAGGGACGCCAACGCGCAAGCGUGCGCCAAUCCCAAAAAAGGUCGCUCAGUUCAGAUCGUGGGCUGCAACCCGCCCACGUGAAGCUGGAAUCGCUAGUAAUCGCGGGUCAGCGACACCGCGGUGAAUGUGUUCCUGAGCC